UCGGCAGCGGCGCCGGGCGGAGGGGGAGAGCGCGGGCCGCGCGGGCGGGAAGCGAAGAGGCGGGCGGGCCAGCGAGGAGCGCGGAGAGAAAAGGCGGGAGCGGCCAGGAGGGCUCAGGCCGAGACACCUUGCAGCUGCCGCCGCCGCCACCGAGCCGCCGCUGUGCUCACUGAUCCGCCGCCAGGGCCACCGCCAUGUCGAGCCGCGGCGGGAAGAAGAAGUCCACCAAGACUUCCCGGUCUGCCAAAGCAGGAGUCAUCUUUCCUGUGGGGCGGAUGCUGCGGUACAUCAAGAAAGGCCACCCCAAGUACAGGAUUGGAGUGGGGGCACCAGUGUACAUGGCCGCUGUCCUGGAAUACCUGACAGCGGAGAUUCUGGAGCUGGCUGGCAAUGCAGCGAGAGACAACAAGAAGGGACGGGUCACACCCCGGCACAUCCUGCUGGCUGUGGCCAAUGAUGAAGAGCUGAAUCAGCUGCUAAAAGGAGUCACCAUAGCCAGUGGGGGUGUGUUACCCAACAUCCACCCCGAGUUGCUAGCGAAGAAGCGGGGAUCCAAAGGAAAGUUGGAAGCCAUCAUCACACCACCCCCAGCCAAAAAGGCCAAGUCUCCAUCCCAGAAGAAGCCUGUGUCUAAAAAAGCAGGAGGCAAGAAAGGGGCCCGGAAAUCCAAGAAGAAGCAGGGUGAAGUCAGUAAGGCAGCCAGCGCCGACAGCACGACCGAGGGCACACCUGCCGACGGCUUCACAGUCCUCUCCACCAAGAGCCUCUUCCUUGGCCAGAAGGAAACACGCUGGAGAAGAAAGGUGGCAAGGAGUUUGUGGAAGCUGUCCUGGAACUCCGGAAAAAGAACGGGCCCUUGGAAGUAGCUGGAGCUGCUGUCAGCGCAGGCCACGGCCUGCCUGCCAAGUUUGUGAUCCACUGUAAUAGUCCAGUCUGGGGUGCAGACAAGUGUGAAGAACUUCUGGAAAAGACAGUGAAAAACUGCUUGGCCCUGGCUGAUGAUAAGAAGCUGAAAUCCAUUGCAUUUCCAUCCAUCGGCAGUGGCAGGAACGGUUUUCCAAAGCAGACAGCAGCUCAGCUGAUUCUGAAGGCCAUCUCCAGUUACUUCGUGUCCACAAUGUCCUCUUCCAUCAAAACGGUGUACUUCGUGCUUUUUGACAGCGAGAGUAUAGGCAUCUAUGUGCAGGAAAUGGCCAAGCUGGACGCCAACUAGGCUGAGCAACGACAGAACCAACUGCACCAUGUACCCCACCUCCAGUUUAAAAGAAAAAAAAAAUCCCCUUCACUCCUACUGGGAGGUGGGACCCCUUUCAUUUUCAGUUUUGCUCAUCUAGGGAAAAUAAGGCUUUGGUUUCCAGUUUAAUUGUUUUUGACCUUCUAAAAUGUUUUUAUGUUAGCACUGAUAGUUGGCAUUACUGUUGUUAAGCACUGUGUUCCAGACCGUGUCUGACUUAGUGUAAUCUAGGAGAUUUUAUAGUUUUAUUUUAAUGAAACCCUGAUUGACGCACAGCAGUGGAGAGAACAGCGUCUUUUACCUGUCACUGAAGCCAGGAAGCCCCGUUUGUAACCGUGUGUUGUGGUGCUUUAUCGUACACCCAGUGGCGUUCUUUUUACUCUAAUGUUCUUUUUGUUUCCACCCUCAGAAGAAUCAUGAAUUUGCAACAGACCUAAUUUUUGGUUACUUUUUGUCUUAUUGAUGGAUUUGAAAAUGAAAGAUUUAAUAAGGCAAAGCAGAAUCUGUUGUCCUUAAUUAUAUUUGCAAUUUGGAA
rnacentral:sRNA from 1 species